rnacentral:rRNA from 1 species
AACGCGUGGGUAAUCUAGCUUUAGGUCUGGGAUAACUCCGGGAAACUGGGGCUAAUACCGGAUAAGACCACGGGGUCUUCGGGUCUUGCGGAAAAAGGUGGCCUCUUCUUGAAAGCUAUCGCCUAUUGAUGAGUCCGCGUCCCAUUAGCUUGUUGGUGAGGUAAAGGCUCACCAAGGCUUCGAUGGGUAGCUGGUCUGAGAGGAUGAUCAGCCACACUGGAACUGAGACACGGUCCAG